rnacentral:rRNA from 1 species
AUUGAACGCUGGCGGCAGGCCUAACACAUGCAAGUCGAGCGGAUGAAGGGAGCUUGCUCCUGGAUUCAGCGGCGGACGGGUGAGUGAUGCCUAGGAAUCUGCCUGGUAGUGGGGGAUAACGUCCGGAAACGGGCGCUAAUACCGCAUACGUCCUGAGGGAGAAAGUGGGGGAUCUUCGGACCUCACGCUAUCAGAUGUGCCUAGGUCGGAUUAGCUAGUUGGUGGGGUAAAGGCCUACCAAAGCGACGAUCCGUAACUGGUCUGAGAGGAUGAUCAGUCACACUGGAACUGAGACACGGUCCAGUCUCCUACGGGAGGCAGCAGUGGGGAAUAUUGGACAACGGGCGAAAGCCUGAUCCAGCCAUGCCGCGUGUGUGAAGAAGGUCUUCGGAUUGUAAAGCACUUUAAGUUGGGAGGAAGGGCAGUAAGUUAAUACCUUGCUGUUUUGACGUUACCAACAGAAUAAGCACCGGCUAACUUCGUG